AUUGAACGCUGGCGGCAUGCUUUACACAUGCAAGUCGAACGGUAACAGGUUAAGCUGACGAGUGGCGAACGGGUGAGUAAUGCAUCGGAACGUGCCCGAUCGUGGGGGAUAACGCAGCGAAAGCUGCGCUAAUACCGCAUACGAGCUGAGGAUGAAAGCGGGGGACCGGAAGGCCUCGCGCAAUCGGAGCGGCCGCUGUCAGAUUAGGGAGUUGGUGGGGUAAAGGCUCACCAAGCCGACGAUCUGUAGCUGGUCUGAGAGGACGACCAGCCACACUGGGACUGAGACACGGCCCAGACUCCUACGGGAGGCAGCAGUGGGGAAUUUUGGACAGUGGGCGCAAGCCUGAUCCAGCAAUGCCGCGUGCAGGAAGGAGGCCUUCGGGUUGUAAACUGCUUUUGUACGGAGCGAAAAGGCUCUCUCUAAUACAGGGGGCUCAUGACGGUACCGUAAGAAUAAGCACCGGCUAACUACGUGCCAGCAGCCGCCGUAA
rnacentral:rRNA from 1 species